rnacentral:sRNA from 1 species
UAAAGAAGACUAUGAUCUGUGCACCAUCUG